GACGAACGCUGGCGGCGUGCUUAAUACAUGCAAGUCGAACGGAAAGGCCCUACUUUUGUUUGCUGCUCGAGUGGCGAUGGGGUGCGUAACACGUGGUUAACCUGCCCUUGACUUUCGGGUAACUUCAGGAAACUGGGGCUAAUGAUGGAUAGGAGCUCCUGCUGCUUGUUGUGGGUUGGAAAGUUUCGGCGGUUGGGGAUGGACUCGCGGCUUAUCAGCUUGUUGGUGGGGUAGUGGCUUACCAAGGUUUUGACGGGUAGCCGGCCUGAGAGGGUGACCGGCCACAUAGGGCCUCAGGUACGGGCAGGACGGCAACGGCGGGAAGGAGCGGGGAUCAGUGCGAAAAGCGCGGAAGGCGUAAGCAAGGACGUCGCGUGGGAAAUGACGGCUUUAGGGGUAUAAACCGUGUUAGCCUGUAACGAUGACUGAGUGACGGUAAUGGAUAAAAAAGCACCGGCUAACUACGUG
rnacentral:rRNA from 1 species